ensembl:lncRNA
AUAUAUAAAAAGUUUAUUUUGGAAUGUAGUUUGUGAAAAUAUUAAUGUAAGAUAGUUUUGGCCAGAAUGAAGCUUAUAAAGAAGUAACAUUUAAUCAUUAGAGAAUGAACUGCACUCAAGCUGAACGGUGGUGUUCAAGAUGACUUCUUGAAUCAAUUUAUUCUAUUUCUGGUAUUAAGCUUCAACCUGGCAGGGUCCUAGGGUUGUCCAUAAUUCUGCAGAUAAUACUGUGUCAGUGUGCUCUUAAGUGCUGUCUGUAGCAUUCUGUGUUGGAUUUAUUAGAAAGUUACUGUCCUUUAAAAAGUUGGUUGUUUUUUUUUUUCAAUUUCUUUCUUCCUUUCUUCCUUUCUUCCUUUCUUCCUUUCUUCCUUUCUUCCUUUCUUCCUUUCUUCCUUUCUUCCUUUCUUCCUUUCUUCCUUUCUUCCUUUCUUCCUUUCUUCCUUUCUUCCUUUCUUUUACUUGCCUUCUUAUAAAGUGAGUAUUUAAUUCCAAGUGAAAAGAUGAAUUGCACAUGUUCUCUGUUGGCUUUAACGCUGCUGUCAUUGCGAAGAGAAAAAAGCUUCAUCAGUAAAGGACGGAUGUUAAAGAUGCACAGAGUUGCUGCAGUCUGAAGUAGAGGUCAGAUCAGUUGUUGCUGUGGGAGAGGAACAGGCUUUGGUUCACAUACACUCUGCAUGUGACAGCGAGACACUGAGAACACUGUCACGCAACUUCUCACUACGGAUUUCCUGUGUGCUGUGCUUUCUUUGCUUGAAGUGAUGCUCAGGCUCUGAGGUGGCUGUCAGUCAGUGGGGAUGGAGGAAGCUAAGUGGUGCUCAGCUGGAAGCACUGUCCUCCACUACCUGACAGUUACCUACCCUGUGUCCUUCCUUGAAUAUGUAGCUUUUAUUUUUUUGUAAUUCCCAGCCCUGAGGAUAUUCUGGAGUAAGACUUCUAGAUGCUUCCCUGAUAAACAGAAUGACAAUUGCCUCCCAGAUCGUGAAAUCAUGCCCUCUUAGAGUGCUUGCAGAAGGCAGACUGAUGCCUUACUGAGGAGCGCUGGGACAGUGUCUCCUCUGUCCAUGGCUUAGUGCAAUACCUUUGAUGGUUGGCCUAGAUGAUCUCAGUGAUCUUUUACAACCUUAGCGAUUCCGUGAUCCAGGAGGACCAAGCAGUUGCACUAUCCCAGCUUUCUCCUUAAAAUGAGGAGGAAAACAUUCAUGUUGUCUCAACUGAGAGGAUAUGAAACCACGUGAACUUUUCUUGAUCUUCUUGUCUGCCACUUUGCCUUGUCAGUAAUGCAUCCUUCUUUGUACCGUACCUCACUGUCAAAAAAAAAAGCUUAAAAAUAUAUUUCUUUCCUUUUCUGAUCACAGUACACCAUAUUAAAUCUUGUAUUGAAACAAGUCUGUGCAUGUUGGUACGUGCCUCCCCCCAGCGCAGAGAUGCAGAGCCUUGGGUGGGUGCCUUCACCUCCUUGUCAGCCCGUAUUUUUGUUAUGUAAUGUACUGCAAAGGCAAACACAACACAAAGCUAUGCAGCCCUUCCAGGAAUGAAGCGCUGAACCAAUCUGUAGAAGUCGGUGUAAACAAGCAUCCAGCAGUGCAGGGUGCUCCAUAGGUAGGUGGGUUUGCAGCCGUUGCACAUAGCUGGCCUACGCACAUUCCCAAGCAGAUCUCUGAUUUGAGAUGGUUGCAGGGCUCUUGUUGUUUCCUCCGCAGAACCUAAAUAUCUCUCUGUGAGCAUCAGGCCUUGCAGCACGUUUCGAAUCCUGGUUUCAAAAAUAGUGAUUCAUUUCUCGCAAUUCCUGUUACAUAUUUCUUCCUUCUUCAGGAAACCUUGCUGAAGAAGGUCUGAGGAUCCUCAAGGUCUGGCCAAACGAGCUCUUGUCAAACAUUUACAGACAAAUGUUCUUACAAUCGGAUAGAUUUAGUGGCAAGAGCCAUCAUUUCCUUAUCUCGGGUUGUUCCUUUCUUUCUUUA